rnacentral:rRNA from 1 species
CGCUGUAAACGAUGAGUACUAGGUGUCGGGGGUUACCCCCCUCGGUGGCGCAGCUAACGCAUUAAGUACUCCGCCUGGGGAGUACGCACGCAAGUGUGAAACUCAAAGGAAUUGACGGGGACCCGCACAAGUAGCGGAGCAUGUGGUUUAAUUCGAAGCAACGCGAAGAACCUUACCUAAGCUUGACAUCCCUCGGACAGGUGUCUAAUCACACCCUUCCUUCGGGACUGAGGUGACAGGUGGUGCAUGGUUGUCGUCAGCUCGUGUCGUGAGAUGUUGGGUUAAGUCCCGCAACGAGCGCAACCCUUGUCUUUAGUUGCCAGCAUUCAGUUGGGCACUCUAGAGAGACUGCCAGGGAUAACCUGGAGGAAGGUGGGGAUGACGUCAAAUCAUCAUGCCCCUUAUGCUUAGGGCUACACACGCGCUACAAUGGGUGGUACAGAGGGUUGCCAAACCGUGAGGUGGAGCCAAUCCCUUAAAGCCAUUCUCAGUUCGGAUUGUAGGCUGAAACUCGCCUACAUGAAGCUGGAGUUACUAGUAAUCGCAGAUCAGAAUGCUGCGGUGAAUGCGUUCCCGGGUCUUGUACACACCGCCCGUCACACCACGGGAGUCGGAAACACCCGAAGCCGAUUAUCCAACCGCAAGGAGGAAGUCGUCGAAGGUGGCGUCGAUAACUGGGGUGAAGUCGUAACAAGGUAGCCAAUCGAAUUCCCGCGGCC